GUGAUAGCUUCAGCAGCACAUACACUAAAAUUGAAACAAUACAGAGAAGAUUAGCAUGUCCCCUGCGCAAAAAUGGCCACCUCCGUGUAACAGGGAAAACAGAAUGCU
ensembl:snRNA U6 U6 spliceosomal RNA